ensembl:snoRNA SNORD36 Small nucleolar RNA SNORD36
CUGCAAUGAUGUUUUGAAUUUCUUCACCUGAAUGCACCAUGAAGAUCAAAAUAACGAGCUUUUUAACCCUGAGCAAC